rnacentral:rRNA from 4 species
CUCCCGGCACGGGGAGGUAGUGACGAAAAAUAACGAUACGGGACUCAUCCGAGGCCCCGUGAUCGGAAUGAGCACACUUUAAAUCCUUUAACGAGGAUCAAUUGGAGGGCAAGUCUGGUGCCAGCAGCCGCGGUAAUUCCAGCUCCAAUAGCGUAUAUUAAAGUUGCUGCGGUUAAAAAGCUCGUAGUCGAAAUUGUGUCCUCGGCCGCCGGUUCGUCGCUCGCGACGCCAACUGGCGCGCACCGCUGGACGUCCAGCCGGUACAACGAACUCGCCUACGGGGUGCUCUUAACCGAGUGUCCAGGCGGGGGCCGGCAACGUUACUUUGAACAAAUUAAAGUGCUUAAAGCAGGCUAAAUUGCGCUCGCAUACACGCGCAUGGAAUAAUCGAAUAGGACCUCCGUUCUAUUUUGUUGGGUUUUUGUGGAACGACAGACGGAGGUAAUGAUCAAUGGGUGCGGAUGGGGGCAUUCGUAUUGCGACGUUAGAGGUGAAAUUCUUGGAUCGUCGCAAGACGGACUUAAGCGAAAGCAUUUGCCAAAAACGCUUUCAUCGAUCAAGAACGAAAGUUAGAGGUUCGAAGGCGAUCAGAUACCGCCCUAGUUCUAACCAUAAACUAUGCCAGCUAGCGAUCCGCCGAAGUUACUUCUAUGACUCGGCGGGCAGCUUCCGGGAAACCAAAGCUUUCGGGUUCCGGGGGAAGUAUGGUUGCAAAGCUGAAACUUAAAGGAAUUGACGGAAGGGCACCACCAGGAGUGGAGCCUGCGGCUUAAUUUGACUCAACACGGGAAACCUCACCAGGCCCGGACACCGGAAGGAUUGACAGAUUGAGAGCUCUUUCUUGAUUCGGUGGGUGGUGGUGCAUGGCCGU